GGCUCAGGACGAACGCUGGCGGCGUGCUUAACACAUGCAAGUCGAACGAGAAGAGAUGAGAAGCUUGCUUCUAUUGAUUCGAGUGGCAAACGGGUGAGUAACGCGUAAGCAACCUGCCCUUCAGAUGGGGACAACAGCUGGAAACGGCUGCUAAUACCGAAUACGUUCUUUUUGUCGCAUGGCAGAGGGAAGAAAGGGAGGCUCUUCGGAGCUUUCGCUGAAGGAUGGGGAUGCGUCUGAUUAGCUUGUUGGCGGGGUAACGGCCCACCAAGGCGACGAUCAGUAGGGGUUCUGAGAGGAAGGUCCCCCACAUUGGAACUGAGACACGGUCCAAACUCCUACGGGAGGCAGCAGUGAGGAAUAUUGGGCAAUGGGGGAAACCCUGACCCAGCAACGCCGCGUGAAGGAAGAAGGCUUUCGGGUUGUAAACUUCUUUACCAGGGACGAAGGACGUGACGGUACCUGGAGAAAAAGCCACGGCUAACUACGUG
rnacentral:rRNA from 1 species